rnacentral:lncRNA from 10 species
CGAGUAGCUGGGACUACAGGCGCACAACACGAUGCCUGGCUAAUUUUUUGUAUGUUAGUAGAGACAGGGUUUCACCGUGUUGCCCAGGCUGGUCUCGAACUCCUAAGCUCAGACAAUCCUCCUGCCUCGGCCUCCCAAAGUGCUGGGAUUGUAUAGCACUUUGGUAAGAUGUGCUUGCUUCCCCUUCACCUUCCACCAUGAUUGUAAGUUUCAUGAGCCUUCUCAGCCAUGCUUCCUGUAUACCCUGUGGAACUGCAAGUCAAUUAGACCUUUUUUCUUUAUAAAUUACCCUGUCUUGGGUAGUUCUUUAUAGCAAUGUGAGAAUGGACUAACAUAAUACAGAUGGGAUAGGAACUUAGCUUAGAAGGAAGAAGAAUGUUCUACGUGUGGGAAGAAAGAAGCACCAACAUUUGGUUGUCAGAGGAUAGUCUGUGGCAGAGUCGUCAAAUUUAUGGGAAGUUACUGCCUAGGCAGGAACUUCAUUUGUCAACCUCUAUUUGCAUCUAGGUGAGGCUAUAUGACUGAGUAGUUUACCUCUAGAGAAUGAGAGUAGAAGUGACAGGUUUCAAGCCAUUAAGAAGUUAGGGAUGGCAUUGGGAGAUGUACCUAGUGUGGAUGACGAGCUGAUGGGUGCAGUGCACCGGUGUGGCACAUGUAUACAUAUGUAGGAAGCCUGCAUGUUGUGCACAUGUACCCUAAAACUUAAAGUAUAAUAAUAACAAUUUAAAAAGUGGAUAUUCCUUGUCCAGUCCCCCAUUCUCCUUUUAUCUGGAUGCAAAGAACGUUAAGGCCCUAGAGACAGAGGAGCCAGAAGGAGGAAAGAGCCUGGGUCCUUGAAUUACCACUAGGAGAAAUCUGCCUGCUGUCAAGCAAGCCUGCAUUGGACUACAUUAUAGAUUCUGCAACCCAUAUGAAGCUCAGUCCUACUGGAAAUUAUCAAAAUGGAUGAAAUUGUCUUUUAAUAUCUCAUAAAGUAGCCUUGGAAACAUCUAAGACUGUUUUUAAAGUACUCAUAAUAUUUUCUUGCUGAUUAUUUUUUCUUGCUAAAUGAUUUGCG